UACAGAGGGUGCAAGCGUUAAUCGGAAUUACUGGGCGUAAAGCGCACGUAGGUGGCUUGAUAAGUUGGGUGUGAAAUCCCCGGGCUUAACCUGGGAAUUGCAUUCAAGACUGUCUUGCUAGAGUGUGGAAGAGGGAAGCGGAAUUCCAGGUGUAGCGGUGAAAUGCGUAGAUAUCUGGAGGAACACCGGUGGCGAAGGCGGCAUCCUGGACCGGUAUUGACGCUGAUGAGCGAAAGCGUGGGGAGCGAACAGG
rnacentral:rRNA from 1 species